GAUUUUUCAACAGUUUAACGGUAAAAUUUUUGCUGUUAUUUUUAUAAAAAUGUUAUUUCUGUAGCUUUUUAUAUCCGACGGUUAUUUCGUUGAAGGGUCCACCAAUGAUUGCGCCGUCGUACAAAUAUUCCUCGACAAAAAGAAUAUUUUCCGACAAAAAGAAUAUUCCCCAACCCUGAUCAAUACAAUGUUGACAGGCCCGCCCAACAAGCUAAUAAUUCAG
rnacentral:lncRNA from 1 species